rnacentral:rRNA from 1 species
CGGUCCUACGGGAGGCAGCAGUAGGGAAUCUUCCACAAUGGACGAAAGUCUGAUGGAGCAACGCCGCGUGAGUGAAGAAGGGUUUCGGCUCGUAAAGCUCUGGUGGGGGGGAAGAAAGAUAGAGGUAGUAACUGGCCUUUAUUUGACGGUAAUUACUUAGAAAGUCACGGCUAACUACGUGCCAGCAGCCGCGGUAAUACGUAGGUGGCAAGGGUUGUCCGGAUUUAUUGGGCGUAAA